GUGCUCACUUCAACAGCAUAUACACUGAAACUGGAACAACACAGAGCAGAUUAGCAUGGCCCGUACACAAGGAUGACAUGUAAAUGCAGAAAUAUUCCAUAUUUUU
rnacentral:snRNA from 1 species